rnacentral:rRNA from 1 species
AUUGAACGCUGGCGGCAUGCCUUACACAUGCAAGUCGAACGGCAGCACGGGAGCAAUCCUGGUGGCGAAUGGCGAACGGGUGAGUAAUGUAUCGGAACGUGCCGAGUAGCGGGGGAUAACGCAUCGAAAGGUGUGCUAAUACCGCAUACGUACUGAGGUAGAAAGUGGGGGACCUUCGGGCCUCACGCUAUUCGAGCGGCCGACGUCUGAUUAGCUAGUUGGUGAGGUAAAGGCUCACCAAGGCGACGAUCAGUAGCGGGUCUGAGAGGAUGAUCCGCCACACUGGGACUGAGACACGGCCCAGACUCCUACGGGAGGCAGCAGUGGGGAAUUUUGGACAAUGGGCGCAAGCCUGAUCCAGCCAUGCCGCGUGUCUGAAGAAGGCCUUCGGGUUGUAAAGGACUUUUGUCCGGGAGCAAAUGCUGGUGGCUAACAUCCACCGGAGCUGAGAGUACCGGAAGAAUAAGCACCGGCUAACUACGUGCCAGCCGCCGCGGUAAAAC